rnacentral:rRNA from 1 species
UACAGAGGGUGCGAGCGUUAAUCGGAUUUACUGGGCGUAAAGGGCGCGUAGGCGGUUAUGUAAGUGAGAUGUGAAAUCCCUGGGCUUAACCUAGGAACUGCAUCUCAUACUGCGUAGCUAGAGUAUUGUAGAGGGUAGUGGAAUUUCCGGUGUAGCGGUGAAAUGCGUAGAGAUCGGAAGGAACACCAGUGGCGAAGGCGGCUACCUGGACAAAUACUGACGCUGAUGGCGCGAAAGCGUGGGGAUCAAACAGG